AAAAAUAGUAAAUAUAAUAUACUAGAAUAGUAUCAGUGAUUCUUGAAAUUUAAUAAAUUUGGCGGUAAUUUAGUCUACUCAGAGGAACUUGUCUCAUAAUCGAUAAUCCUCGUUUUAUCUUACUUAAUUUAAUUUAGUUUGUAUAUCGCCGUCAUCAGAAUGUCUUAAAAGAGAAAUAAUUUUCUAAUAUUUUAAUUAAAAAUAAUGUCAGGUCAAGGUGCAGCUUAUAUUUAAGUGAUGAUGAGUUACAAUAAAAUUAUUUAUAAUGAAUUAAUGAUUUAAAAAUUAUUAUGAAAGUGGAUUUGAUAGUAAAAUAUUUAUUUUUAAAAAUUAGGUUAUUUGAUUUUAGCUCUAAAUUAUGC
rnacentral:rRNA from 1 species